CCCUUAGAUGUUCUGGGCCGCACGCGUGCUACACUGAGUGGAUCAGCGGGUCAGGUUGCGCGAAAGUGUUUCCUAAUCUUGAAAUCCGCUCGUGAUGGGGAUUGACGGUUGCAAUUUUCCGUCAUGAACGAGGUAUACCUUGUAAGCGCGGGUCAUCAUCCCGCGCUGAAUACGUCCCUGCCCUUUGUACACACCGCCCGUCGCUCCUACCGAUUGAGUGGUCCGGUGAGGCUUUGGGAUCUGAGCGGAAAGAGCGUUUCGCUGUUUCUGCUCGGAAAACUCAGUCGAACCUUAUCAUUUAGAGGAAGGAGAAGUCGUAACA
rnacentral:rRNA from 1 species